UUACGCUGUUAUCCCUAAGGUAACUUAAUCUAAUAAUCAAUAAUAAUGGAUCUAAUAUUCAUAAAUCAAUGUUAAAUAAAUAAAAAAGUUAUGCUUAUAUUUUUGUCACCCCAACAAAACACAAACUAAUAUAAAAUAUUAAUAUAAUUUUAUAUAAAUCAGUUCAUGUAAAGAUCUAUAGGGUCUUCUCGUCUUCCAAUAAUAUUUUAGCUUUUUAACUAAAAAAUUAAGUUUUAAAACAAAUAAAAUGAGACAGUCAGUUCUUCGUUAAACCUUUCAUUCCAGCCCUCUAUUAAAAGACUAAUGAUUAUGCUACCUUUGCACGGUCAAUAUACCGCGGCCGUUAAAUUCAUCACUGGGCAGGCCAGACCUUCAAUUAAAUUCAAAAGGACAUGUUUUUGUUAAACAGGCG
rnacentral:rRNA from 1 species